GGACCACAACCCUUUUACUAGUGAAGAUAUUUCUUCCUCAAACCUACACACUUUAAAAACUGACUUUUUGGGGAGUAAAAUGAAUUUUUCUCUGACUUAUGUUCAUUUAUAGAUGAGCAUAUAAUUUAUAUAUGUAGUUUAAAUGGUACACUUAUACAUGCAUCCAUGUAUGCACACAUCAACACAUAUUAAACUUUAUAUAUGCUAACCACCUGUGUUCUAGUUUAAACAGAACAGCAAACAAUAGGCAUCCUCCCAGUGGAGAACAGAGUAGGUUGUGAAACAUUACUCUGAAGAAACAAAUUUAUGAAGAUCCUGUUUGAGUAAGAUUUGGGGGGAGAGAGGGGACAGGGUUCCCUCUUUCUUUGGCUAAUGUCUACCAGUCCUGGAAAACUUAACUUCUUUUACUACUUCUUUGAAGCCUUGAGUUCCAAGACCAGAUGGGAUCCUUUGCCCAAACCCAGCAGGCAUCUGAGUUUAUAUCAUUUUACCUGGAAGACUGUACUCAAAUAGCACACAUGCUUUGUGUACUUGAAGGGAUGCCAUCUGCCUUUGCAGUUGCAUACCAUAAUGGCUCUUGUCAGCCCUCCUUCUGUGUGUUCCUAUGUGGGUCAGAUACAAAGUUGCUCUCAUCAGCUCUUCUACCCAGACAGGAAAGAAUGGUUAUGCUAUAAGCAUGAUGAUAGCAUAACCAACCUUUCAUUUGUCCACACUCAGCUCCUCCUCAGCACCUCUCUAGAUAAGCCUGUUGGAGUGCCUUUUUCUCAUCAGACCCUUAGGUGUGAACCUGCUCUAUUCUAGGUACUCUCCUGGCACCGCUCAGAUACCAUGCUCACUUGCUCCUAGGUACUAUGCAUACGAUCUGAGACUCAGUGUCUAUGUUUUCAGCUCAGAGACACAUUUGUGAGCAGGAUUCAUGAUGGGCUAGAGGCACUUUAAAACCUCAGCAAACCACAACUGAAUUCAAUAGCCACUCUCCUCUACCUCAGAUGGCCUACCUCUUCUAACCCCUAUUAUUUCAGUGAACCAAACACAAGUAUUCAUAGUUACCCAAGUUAUUGGGAGCCAUCUGUGAUGAUUUUGUGGUGUCAAUUUGGCCAGGGUAAACUAUAAUUCUUCAGAAUUUCCUUUCUAGGAUGUCUCUGGUUAGAGGGAAGCUUUCUCAUGAAGAUGGAAUUUGGAGGGGAGACAUGGCCAUCCUGUAGCACUCGCAAGCAUGUGUGUGUGUGUGUGUGUGUGUG